rnacentral:snoRNA from 1 species
AAUCUUCAUUCCCACAGCUGGUCAUGAGGCUAUAGUUAACAUGCAUUUCUUGGUCUUGGUGUUGGUAAAGGAGAGAAAGGAAUGCUGAAGUUGCCCCCCUAGCCUCAUAGUCUGGUGAAUAGCAUGUGGGCUAGUUUCAUACCGGG